AGUGCUGAACACCAUAGCCUUUGACUUUGUGACGUGAUGGCUGAGUUUAUAUGAUUUAACUAGGUACAAAUAGUUGCUUAAAAGUCUGAGUCUGACUAUGAGAGUGUGUACAGAUUUGAGUUAAUAGAUCUUGAAAUGAAGACUCACCAUCACCAAUGUGGGGCUUUGUCUUCCAGUCCAUUGCAGGUGUCAGUAGAAGAGAAAGGGAGAGAGAGGGAGACUCAGGACAGGAACAUAAGGCAAGAAAACCUCCAGGCAGGAACUGAGGUGUGGAGAUAUCAGAAGAUGGGCAUAGUGACAUCUGUAAUUCUAACACUUGGGACAUAGUGACAGGAUAUCAGGAUCUACAAGCCAGCCUCUGAAACACAAGGUUUCUCUGCAUAGGAGAAGUUUGCCCUUAAACCUGAAUCAGAAAUUCAAUUUGGAGACAGCUAAGAACAUUGUAAUUUUGACAAUAUCAUGGCUUGAGGAACUGUGGUGUAAUCUGUUGUCUCUCACCUGACAAUCACGCUGAUCUUCGCGCGGAAGUGGAAGCUCAACGCUUUUGUGAAAACUCGAGUGGAAAAGUGUUUCUGUGUCACAAAUUCAAUGAGAUGUCAAGUCUGCACUCGACAAGUGAAAGUGAAAACGAGAGACUCAUGAGAAUGUAAAGAUUCAGGAGGCCAAGCGCUGAGCCUAGAAUGGAUUGCGCAGCAUACUGGUGCACAGCAGAGCAGGAUACGCAAAGCACUUUUUUCUUUUUUUUCUUGUUGGAGAAUCACUUACACGUAAUGUUCUUCAUCAAAACCA
rnacentral:lncRNA from 1 species